rnacentral:rRNA from 1 species
AGCAUAUCAAUAAGCGGAGGAAAAGAAACCAACAGGGAUUGCCCUUAGUAACGGCGAGUGAAGCGGCAACAGCUCAAAUUUGAAAUCUGGCCCUCGGGUCCGAGUUGUAAUUUGUAGAGGAUGCUUUUGGUGCGGUACCUUCCGAGUUCCCUGGAACGGGACGCCAUAGAGGGUGAGAGCCCCGUCUGGUUGGAUGCCAAUCCUCUGUAAAGCUCCUUCGACGAGUCGAGUAGUUUGGGAAUGCUGCUCUAAAUGGGAGGUAUAUGUCUUCUAAAGCUAAAUAUUGGCCAGAGACCGAUAGCGCACAAGUAGAGUGAUCGAAAGAUGAAAAGCACUUUGAAAAGAGAGUUAAAAAGCACGUGAAAUUGUUGAAAGGGAAGCGCUUAUGACCAGACUUGGGCUUGGUUGAUCAUCCGGCGUUCUCGCCGGUGCACUCUUCCGGCUCAGGCCAGCAUCAGUUUGCUUCGGGGGAUAAAGGCUUUGGGAAUGUGGCUCCCUCGGGAGUGUUAUAGCCCACUGUGUAAUACCCUGGAGCGGACUGAGGUACGCGUUCUGCAAGGAUGCUGGCGUAAUGGUCAUCAGUGACCCGUCUUGAAACACGGACCAAGGAGUCGUCUUCGUAUGCGAGUGUUCGGGUGUCAAACCCCUACGCGUAAUGAAAGUGAACGCAGGUGAGAGCUUCGGCGCAUCAUCGACCGAUCCUGAUGUUCUCGGAUGGAUUUGAGUAAGAGCAUACGGGGCCGGACCCGAAAGAAGGUGAACUAUGCCUGUGUAGGGUGAAGCCAGAGGAAACUCUGGUGGAGGCUCGCAGCGGUUCUGACGUGCAAAUCGAUCGUCAAACAUGGGCAUGGGGGCGAAAGACUAAUCGAACCUUCUAGUAGCUGGUUCC